GAAUUAGAAUGAUUUUUGUGAAUAUAAACUGUUUUAAAUAUUUAGUGAUUUUAAUGUUCGGAAUUUUUCCAAAAGUGUUUUUGAACAAAAUUUUCAUCCAAAAUCAACAAAAUAGAGUUUAUUAACAAUGAUUAACAGUGAUCAAACAUGAACAUAUAGAUUAUAGACUUGCAUUAUUCGAGAAAAGAAUAAGUUGAACUGAUUCAGUAUGACAAUUCCCGAGUUAUGAUAUAAUGUAGUAUGAUAGUUCGUUUGAUUAAUAAAUGAAAAUUGAAAAUUGAGAGAUUUAGUUGAGAGAAAAUUGAAUGGGAGAGGUAGAUUUUGAGGCAAUAAAUAGUAGAUGGAAUUAUGAGUUGUUGCAGUUAAUACACGCAAGGCAUGCAUUUGUUUUCUCAUCCACACUAAUAAUAAGUCCAUUUUGUAUCGGAGUUUGUUCCAUUUGUAAAGUAAAUUCUACCAGUGGGUAAAAAAGAAAAACAAAAGAAAAUAUUUGAAAACAAGUUGUCGUAAAGGGAAUAAAUGAGGCUUUGCAGGUUGUGGGAGUGAUGAGUGCGACAUCUCAAUCGACAGAAGGGAAAUAAGAGUAUGAUUUAUUAUGGUUAAAUAGACAGAAAGGAAAUAUGAUAUACUUAUAUUACAAAAUUAUGUCAAUUAGUUGUAUUUUUCGUAAUUUAAAGUAACAAAACAAAAAGAGAUGAACCUUAUAAUUUAAAUACAUCGUGGAACUUUUAGCGUAUCGUGGUUAAUUAGUAGGUCAAAAGGUUGAGCUUCUAUGUUAUUCUAACAUUAUGUUAUAUUUACAUGAGCCUAGGAUUCUGCAAUCCACUCCAUGGUGGAGUAGUAAAAGGACCCAUCAGUUGAACAUUGCCUCGCACGAACAUAAGUCAGAAAAUUGUUAAUUUUACAUAUUCUCAACAAAAUAAUACUAGUGCACUUCCAAUAAUCCAACACAAAUAUUUAUAUUUUUGUGACUAUUCUUUUUGUAAUUCUUGAUUUCUAAAUUUUCUAUAUAUAAAUGUUAUCAAACAAAGCAAUCUGAAUAUAUUUCAAAAUGUUUCGAAAAUCACAAGCAAACAAGCUCUCAUUAUUUAUCUUUCUCUAUUAAUUUCUACUAGCGUCCAAUUAUUUUGGUAUGUGUCGUAAUAUGGCCAAGACAUGAAAAAGUUUGGAGCUGGGAAGAAAAAUGCCAAGCUUGUACGUCCGACCAUUUAUCGCAGUAAACGAUUUAUAACGUCGAACGUGUGAUCACAAUAUAUCACUUGUUGUUAACUUUGCUAUGGAUGCUACCACUAUUAAUUAUGUUAGUUAUUAAACGUGGAUUCUCAUUGGCAAAUCAGUGUUUUGUAACAAAAUAACAUACGUACAGAUUUUUACAAUGUCAUGACUUUAAAUUUGAUUGUGACAUUUGAGCAUUUUUAUGAAAACUCAAAAAACAGCUAAACAACAUUUUUUUUUGCAAAAAGUUAUGGACCGAAGCCUAUAAUUUAUUUAAUCCAUAGAUAUGAAAUAAUCGUUAAAAAAUUUUUUUGCAGCUGCUUAAACUCGAACUUACGCUUCUAUAUAGCAUAAAACUUUACCAAUAGAGAUAGCAGCUCCAGGUUAAACUACCCUUUUUAUGUUUGAUUUCGUUAUUUCAUCAUGCGUAAUUUUGUCUAAAUUCUUGAUUUUGGUAUUUUAAGGUGAAGUUUAUUCUUUAACACAGCUUCUAUCCCAUUAAUAAAUAGAGUAUAGCUGGUAAUUAAUUGAACAUCAAAAUGGUUUUCAGAUUUUAUGAUAAAUAUAUAACGAGCUAUAUGAAGCUCCAUAUUAAAAUUAAGAAAACAAUGGUGCCGUUUAACUUGUGGUCCUGACAAAAAGUAUAGAAAAAUAAAAACAGAAUGGUAGGCAGUAGGCAUCAAAGACAAACCCGUUGAAUUUGCUAAAAAGAAACAAUCAGAAAAAAGUAAAAGAAAAAAACCUCAAACAAAAUCCCUAGAAGUUUAUCGGUUUUCUCGCUUAGAAUUUCAUCUUUGGAAAACUACCAGAGUGAUUUCCCUAAUUAGAUUUUAAUCCUCCUUGAGAAAACCCCCUUGAGUUUCUUCUAUUUUCAUUAUAUAUUUGUCAUUUAUCAUCUCUCUCCUUCACUUUUUUUUCUGUUCAUAAUAGUUGUUAGAUCUUAUGUCUUUUCGAAUCCGAAUCUUUAAGUUUCUCAUUUGAUUAAACCCAACAAGUUUCCAGUUUUCGAGACUAGUGUUAUUAAUCUUCUCCGUAGCUUUGUGAGAACAGAAUCUAGGGUUUCGGUCUUUUUCUUAUAAAAAUAUUCCUUUCUUCAUACUAGUAUUCUUUUUUGGGUUUAAAUGUUAAAUUCUUGGUUCAUAAAUUUCCUGCUAUACAACAACUGUACAUCACCAUCAUUAAGAGAAACCCGUCUGCCUCUUUUCAUAACCUCAUAAAUAUUCCAACCAUUCCAUGUCGCGCUUCUCUCAUCUGUUGUUCUCUAAAGGAACGAGUGAAAAGAGUUUGGAUCUUUAAGCUUUUUGAUCAUGUGGGUUUGACAAAAGAGUUUCUUACAGAGAUCUUUGGCAUUCUGUCCACCUCCCCUACCUAUGUACAUGUGUAUUAUCUGCGUUGUGUUUUGUGAGGGGGAGGUGGGCAUACUGCCAACAGAGAUCUGUUAGGGUUUCUUUGUAAAACCCCUCAUGAUUUGUUGUAUUCAAGAUAAGGCAUUGGCUCGUGUUGAUCAAGAUGACUUGAUGAACACUAAGAUCUAGGUUUGAAGAAAAAUGGUAUUAUCUCGGAUCUACUCAACCUUAUUAUAUAUGUGUGAUCACUACAUCUUAUUUUAUUAAGUCAAUUUCACUUGUCAAUUCCAAUCUCCUUUGAUUUGGUUGAUCUCGACGAAGUUCUUAGCUUUCAUUGGCUGAGACACUAAUCUGUUGGUGGGUUUAUAAGACUGGAUACGUCCAUCACAUUUGCUUGUAAAGAAACUCACAUCGUUUUAAUUUCGACGUCGUUGACCAGUGUGAGGUUGAUGUGGGAGUAGUGGUGGCGUCUGAGAAGUUUACAUCAUCUAGGAAAGGUAAGCUAUUCAUGAAAAAUGAGGACCCAUUAUUCAAAAAGGUACAUGUAGAUUGAAAUCAUAGGGGAAUGUGGUAAUGGAAAAGGAGAAUUUACUCUACCUUUUUAUGUUUUUGAAGCCCACACAAUGUUAUCAUGUUGUUUUUUUUUCUUGAAGUUGGAAUCUAUGUGUAUAGAAAGUGGUUUCUUGUGUUUGUGUAAAAUCAAAAAUGUCAUGUUUUAUGUGACGAUAGUGUUCAAUCUGAUAAAUGGACGGAGAAAUCUCAUGUUCAAUUUUAAAA